ACGAGAACCUAUUGUCUGGGACCGGUUCCAUUGCGGAAGCUGUUUAUGAGUGAAGUCCGUUCCUUCCUUCGCACGGGUAUAGCGCAGCUCACUCUUGACCAAGAUCGUUUCUAUUUCUUUUUUUCGAGAGAAGAGCUCUUUUUCGUUAACAAAUCGAGCAUAUAACUGACUUUCCACACCUUUCGGGGAAUCGCCCACGACCCCUACAAACCCAUGCCCUAAAAUAGAUAUUAAGCAGUGACAUAUGGUCCUACAGGCCCCA
rnacentral:lncRNA from 1 species